UACAGAGAGUGCGAGCGUUAAUCGGAAUUACUGGGCGUAAAGCGUACGUAGGUGGAUGUUUAAGUCAGAUGUGAAAGCCCCGAGCUUAACUUGGGAAUUGCAUUUGAUACUGGGCGUCUAGAGUAUAGUAGAGGGAAGUGGAAUUUCUGGUGUAGCGGUGAAAUGCGUAGAUAUCAGAAGGAACAUCAGUGGCGAAAGCGGCUUCCUGGACUAAUACUGACACUUAGGUACGAAAGCGUGGGGAGCAAAC
rnacentral:rRNA from 1 species